GGGACACGUGGUAUCCUGUCUGAAUAUGGGGGGACCAUCCUCCAAGGCUAAAUACUCCUGACUGACCGAUAGUGAACCAGUACCGUGAGGGAAAGGCGAAAAGAACCCCGGCGAGGGGAGUGAAAAAGAACCUGAAACCGUGUACGUACAAGCAGUGGGAGCACAGGUUUACCUGUGUGACUGCGUACCUUUUGUAUAAUGGGUCAGCGACUUAUAUUCUGUAGCAAGGUUAACCGUAUAGGGGAGCCGGAGGGAAACCGAGUCUUAAUUGGGCGUUAAGUUGCAGGGUAUAGACCCGAAACCCGGUGAUCUAGCCAUGGGCAGGUUGAAGGUUGGGUAACACUAACUGGAGGACCGAACCGACUAAUGUUGAAAAAUUAGCGGAUGACCUGUGGCUGGGGGUGAAAGGCCAAUCAAACCGGGAGAUAGCUGGUUCUCCCCGAAAGCUAUUUAGGUAGCGCCUCGUGAAUUCAUCUCCGGGGGUAGAGCACUGUUUCGGCUAGGGGGCCAUCCCGGCUUACCAACCCGAUGCAAACUGCGAAUACCGGAGAAUGUUAUCACGGGAGACACACGGCGGGUGCUAACGUCCGUCGUGAAGAGGGAAACAACCCAGACCGCCAGCUAAGGUCCCAAAGUCAUGGUUAAGUGGGAAACGAUGUGGGAAGGCCCAGACAGCCAGGAUGUUGGCUUAGAAGCAGCCAUCAUUUAAAGAAAGCGUAAUAGCUCACUGGUCGAGUCGGCCUGCGCGGAAGAUGUAACGGGGCUAAACCAUGCACCGAAGCUGCGGCAGCGACGCUGAUGCGUUGUUGGGUAGGGGAGCGUUCUGUAAGCCUGCGAAGGUGGCCUGUGAGGG
rnacentral:rRNA from 1 species